GAUUAAGGAUGUACACCUCUGAGGAGCCAAAAAUUUCUAGAAUUAAACUUUUUUCUUAACCUGAUUUUUGGGUUUAUUAGACUGUAACAAAAUAAUUGGUGAAGAAAAAAUCAUAUAGUGGUGCACUUCUUUUUUUGCUACGGCCCUUUGAAAAUGCCCAAUUUUGAUGAUUUUCACAUUUUUUAUCGAUUUUUACCUAUUUUUGGGCUAUUAUCAUGAAAAAAAUCACAGUUCCACAAUUAAACUUUUUCUCAUACUUUCUAUAAAGAUGAAGUGGACCAAUCUGAAUAAAUUUUACUUACAAAAACUAUAGGUAGGUGUUAAUAUAAGAAAGUUUUAUCAUAUUUU
rnacentral:lncRNA from 1 species